AGACCAUGAUGAGGGCAUUUUCUUAAUAACUCUUGAACCUUUCUCAAGUUUUAUAUAAGGAUUCCCCGUCCUCUUGCAAAUAUGUAUUAAUUUCAGUCAUUAAUUU
rnacentral:snoRNA from 1 species